UGGUUUAAGAUCUAAGAUUUGAUCUAAGGUUUGAUUUAAGAUUUAGGAUUUGUCUAAGACUUGAUUUAGGAUUUGGUUUAGAAUCUAGAAUUUUUCUAAGAUUUGAUUUAGGAUUUGAUUUAGCAUUUAGGAUUUGAUUUAGAAUUUGAUUUAGCAUUUAGGAUUUGAUUUAGAAUUUGAUUUAGGAUCUAUGGUUUGAUUUAGGAUUUGAUUCAAGAUUUAAAAUUUGUCUAAAAUUCAAUUAAAUUCUAUUAAGAUUAAAUUAGAACUUAAUUGAGAUUUAUUUAAGAUAUAUUUGUAGUUAUUCUAAUAUUUUUUAGGACUUCUUAAGGAUUCUUUAAAGGUUUAUUGUGGAUUUUCUUUCAAUUUCUUUAAGAUUUUUUUAUUGUUUCUUCUGUAAUUUCUUUAAUAUUUCUUUUAAAUUUUAUUAAAGCUUAUAUAGCAUUGUUAAUAUUUAAUUAUAAUUUAUUCA
rnacentral:lncRNA from 1 species